rnacentral:tmRNA from 1 species
GGGGCUGCCUGGUAUUGACGGGAAGGUGUAGUCGUUUCGUAAGCAUGCCGGAGCAGGGUUGGUUACUCCGUAAAAAAUAACGACCAAAAAUUAGUAGGCAACACUCAGUUUGCCAUGGCGGCCUAAGUCUAGGUAUUUAGGAAGCCUUUGCGCCACGUAGUCUGCUCGCCAAGCGACCGGACUUUCGCCUUGAUGCCUGCUACAAAGGCCGUCGCGCAUCAAUCAAUGCAGGAUUGCCCAAUGGUUUGUCUCGGCCAAAGGGUGAAACACAGGGGCUAAGGUGCGGAAGGAGGGUUACUGAACCAACCCGCACUCGAAAAACCAAUCAGUAACUAAG